GAUGAAGAACGUAGCGAAAUGCGAUAAGUAAUGUGAAUUGCAGAAUUCAGUGAAUCAUCGAAUCUUUGAACGCACAUUGCGCCCGCCAGCAUUCUGGCGGGCAUGCCUGUUCGAGCGUCAUUUCAACCCUCAAGCUCUGCUUGGUGUUGGGGCCCUACGGUUGACGUAGGCCCUUAAAGGUAGUGGCGGACCCUCUCGGAGCCUCCUUUGCGUAGUAACUAACGUCUCGCACUGGGAUUCGGAGGGACUCUUGCCGUAAAACCCCCAAAUUUUUAAAGGUUGACCUCGGAUCAGGUAGGAAUACCCGCUGAACUUAAGCAUAUCAAUAAGCGGAGGA
rnacentral:misc_RNA from 1 species